rnacentral:rRNA from 1 species
GCAGGGAAGAAAGUGACGGUCCCUGAGUAAGAAGCCCCGGCCAACUACGUUCAAGCAGCCGCGGUAAUACGUAGGUGGCAAGCGUUGUCCGGAAUUACUGGGUGUAAAGGGAGCGUAGGCGGGGAGACAAGUUGAAUGUUUAAACUAUCGGCUCAACUGAUAGUCGCGUUCAAAACUAUCACUCUUGAGUGCAGUAGAGGUAGGCGGAAUUCCUAGUGUAGCGGUGAAAUGCGUAGAUAUUAGGAGGAACACCAGUGGCGAAGGCGGCCUACUGGGCUGUAACUGACGCUGAGGCUCGAAAGCGUGGGUAGCAA